GGUUAAGCCAACAUUGGAUGCCAUGCCUUCCUGCAAGGGGAGUGAUUUUAACUAUGGCUAGAUUUGGUCCAUUAACGCUCCGUGAAGGAUUUGGGGUCUGUGUUCCUGAGGCUUAUCGGGCCAUGGCUUCUUUUCUUGUGAUGCCUUUGGCUGGAUUAUCCAGAUAAUUCUUCACCGAAUGAAUCGAGCUGCAGUCCCUCCGCUUCAGUUUUCGGAGUGGUUUGUGAAAGUUCCUUGGGCGGCGAAGGCCCGACCCCACCAGCUGUUUACAAUCCAUCAUCCAGCAGUUUCCAUGUGGUUGUCAUGCUGCUUGUGACGGGAAAGAGAAUCUCGGUGUCCAAAUACUGGACUUGCAGCUUCAUAAAUCAGGAAGCUCUCGCCAUUCAAAUCAUCAUAUUGACAGCAAAUUUGCAUAAUUUUCCUAGUUUGCUUUGCGGUUGAGGUCAGGUCUCUCCUGUUCUCAGUGGGUGGCCCCUGGGAAGCGGCCAAGUGGGGGCCUUAAACUGGGGGGGCAUCAGAGGCGCUUGGAGGGGUGAGAGAAGCCUGGGCGGAUGUGUGUGGGGGGUCUCUCUGGGGAGCAGCUUGCCAGGCCUCAGUGACAAUGCCUACCCACGGUGGCACAGCCCAGGAGAGCUGGGGUCUUCCCCGGAGACAGCAGGGACCUUCCUCCAGAGCAGGGUCUCGUGCCAACUGAUAAAUGGGCAGAGGCCAAAAGCGGGUAGUUCAGAGCUGUGACAUCCAAAUGGCUACUACGUAUAUGAAAAAUGAUUUUCUCACCAGGAAUCAGAAAUGCAAAGCCAAGCAAUACGGCCCUCGUGUGUCAUCCUCUGGGCUGAUGGUGUGACGGCCGAGAGCCUUGUUCAGCUCUGCCUCCUGGGACGGAACCGGCCGGUGUCCUUCCACACACUCCUUUGGGCCUGUCCACGCUGCUCUUGUCAAGCUGUCCCCAGGACAACGGAAAUGGACAACAGCGCUGCGCCUCUCGUGGCGCUGCGUGUCAUC
rnacentral:lncRNA from 1 species